rnacentral:lncRNA from 1 species
CAGCAUUAUGACCAGUCUUGGAACUAGGAUUGGGGUGGGGUUCAUCCCACCCAGACCACAGAGACUGAAAAUAAGAAAGGGGUGAGGCCUAAGGGACAAUCAGGAUGUUUUUCAGAGAGAAGUGUGGAUGCUGGACAGGAAGAACCACAGAUGCCAGAUACGGGUACUGUUGUAACUCUGUUCUCCAUGAAAAUUCCUCUUUAUAGGUUUUAUUCCACAGACAUUUCCUGAAACAUUACUAAUUAAAACAACGAUGAGGCCUGCUUCGGGUACUUAACAGGACUGUCUACUAGGGGACACAAGAGAAGGACAUGACAGAGCCUGUGACUUUUACCAGCCAUCAGUUCAAAGGGAAACUUGCAAACAGCCUGCAGCUGGUUAAAGGAUCAGGAAGGAAAUAGUUCAUCUGAGC